rnacentral:rRNA from 1 species
GAUGAACGCUGGCGGCGUGCCUAAUACAUGCAAGUCGAGCGAACAGACGAGGAGCUUGCUCCUCUGACGUUAGCGGCGGACGGGUGAGUAACACGUGGAUAACCUACCUAUAAGACUGGGAUAACUUCGGGAAACCGGAGCUAAUACCGGAUAAUAUAUUGAACCGCAUGGUUCAAUAGUGAAAGACGGUUUUGCUGUCACUUAUAGAUGGAUCCGCGCCGCAUUAGCUAGUUGGUAAGGUAACGGCUUACCAAGGCAACGAUGCGUAGCCGACCUGAGAGGGUGAUCGGCCACACUGGAACUGAGACACGGUCCAGACUCCUACGGGAGGCAGCAGUAGGGAAUCUUCCGCAAUGGGCGAAAGCCUGACGGAGCAACGCCGCGUGAGUGAUAAAGGUCUUCGGAUCGUAAAACUCUGUUAUUAGGGAAGAACAAAUGUGUAAGUAACUAUGCACGUCUUGACGGUACCUAACCAGAAAGCCACGGCUAACUACGUG